UAAAGAUCGAAGAUGGCAGGAUUGAUAAUUAUUCUUUGUAUUAGUUUCCUAACAAUCCUACCAGUUGUACUCAAUAACCCAGAACCUGCCUCGAUUGGAUACUAUUUGGCAGAGUUGGCUAAAAUUGCAGAGGCUCAAAAAACCGCUCUUGUAAAACACCCAGUAAUAAGGGUUGGAUUUGUUCCUCAGCAGAAAGAAGAAAUGGAAGAG